GGGUCUUUAAAAGUGGAAGCAGGAGGAGAAGAAGAGUCAGUCAGUGUCAGAGAGACAUGAUGUGAGACUCACCCUGCCAAUGCCGGCCUUGAAGAUACAAGGAGUCAAGAGCCAAGAAAUGCAGACAGCCUCUAGGAGCUAGAGAAGAUAAGGAAACAGUUUCUCCCCUAGAACUUCCAGGAAGAAAUACAUCCCUGUUGACAUCUUGAUUUUAGCCCAGGGAGUCUAUCAUCAGACUUCUGACCUCCAGGAUGCUCUCCUUGAUGGAACCAGCGUGUGCGUCCCCCAACUGCCAUAAAUCUUGGCUGCUAAGGGUUCACGGCUGGUCUUCUUCUCCAAAGAACCAUCAUCACUGGAGUAGCCUCUUUACCCAGAAGAAAUUAUUCCCUCCACCCUGGGGGCACCCAGUGCCUGAUAAUUGGGCUGGAAAGGAGGCUGACCCUCUUGUCUCAAGGGCUUUCUACGUCCUGAGAAGACCCUUGAGUUCUGUCUCACCACCAGCUCUGCCCCAUCAGAGGAGGGAGUGGCUGGCAGUGCCCAAGGGCUGGGAAGGUGCCCCCAGGCAGAGGGCUCCCUCCGGUGCUGCCAGCCCAGAACUCGCUGGGCCACCCAAGCCGAGAGAGUGAGCUCUGCAGCUGCAGCCGGCAGACUUUUUCUAUAAAGGGCCAGGUAGCAAAUACUUUAGGCUUUGCAGACUGUAUGGUCACUGUCAUACUACUCAACUCUGCUGUCUAGCGUGGAAGCAGCCACAGACAACACGCAAGGGAAUGGGCAUGUCUGUGUUCCAAUAAAACUUUAUUUAUAAAAACGGGUGACAUGCCAGAGCCAAACAGGUCACCUGCUCUGAGCCAAAGGGCCUGGGAUCCACCUGGGCUUCACUGCCUACCUGCUGGGAUUGCAGGUGCCUCUGCCCUCUGGAUAAACUACUCCUUCCAGGCGGAGAAGGCAUCUUUCCAGAGCCUGGACUAAUUCUGCUCUUCCAGGAUGCACGUCUUCUCAUACCCACACGUCUGAAUCUGGUUAAUAUGAAAGGCCGGCCCGUCACUAGAUUUUUCCUGAUUUCUCUCCUACAGGUCAUAUUUGACUCGCUUCUGUGCCUUCCUUUUCCCAGCACGUGAGCUGCACUUUUGAAUGGAACUUGUUUCUUUUUUAGACUAAUGCAUUCAUUCAGCGUCAUUCAUUCGUCCAGCGUUUGCCGGACGUGGGCUAUCCAUUCUCCACCUAGCUCAAUGCUGCUCUCAGCACGCAUCUUAAUUAGCACUUUCAUUUAUAAAGU
rnacentral:lncRNA from 1 species